rnacentral:rRNA from 1 species
UACGGAGGGUGCAAACGUUGCUCGGAAUCAUUGGGCGUAAAGCGCACGUAGGCGGCCUGUUAAGUCGGAUGUGAAAUCCCUGGGCUCAACCCAGGAAGUGCAUUCGAAACUGGCGGGCUUGAAUAUGGAAGAGGGUCGCGGAAUUCCCGGUGUAGAGGUGAAAUUCGUAGAUAUCGGGAGGAACACCAGUGGCGAAGGCGGCGACCUGGGCCAAUAUUGACGCUGAGGUGCGAAAGCGUGGGGAGCAAACAGG